GAUUUCAGUGGCAUGAAGUACA
rnacentral:miRNA from 1 species